UACAUGGGGUGCAAACGUUGCUCGGAAUUAUUGGGCGUAAAGCGUGCGCAGGCGGUUGUGCAAGACAGAUGUGAAAUCCCCGGGCUUAACCUGGGAAUUGCAUUUGUGACUGUACGGCUAGAGUGUGUCAGAGGGGGGUAGAAUUCCACGUGUAGCAGUGAAAUGCGUAGAGAUGUGGAGGAAUACCGAUGGCGAAGGCAGCCCCCUGGGAUAACACUGACGCUCAUGCACGAAAGCGUGGGGAGCAAACAGG
rnacentral:rRNA from 1 species